AAUAUGGAGACAGUAGUGUUCACGCUGUUCUUCGAGGCGUUUCAUUGCUGCAUGGAGUUUGAUAGUAAUUGUCUAACACUGAUGACUUGAAGGCAUGCAAUACGUGUAUUUUUAUUUACCUACGGUUAAUGUUUCUAUGAUUGUCAACUAUCACUCUUUUAUUAGCCAUAUCUCCACGUGAAACUUUUGGUUGAGAGCGACUCACAGCAGGUUUCUAAAAUCACCGAAAAAGUAAAAUUUUGUAGACGAAAUAAAAGUUGUUAUCGUUGUUGCGAUGUGUGUGAAAUUUCAACACUCGAAUACAGGUCAGUCGAUUUGUGAUAAAAGAAAAUGCUGUGAAAUCGAUUAAUUUCGGAAACAUAAGGCUUGCUGCAGUGCUCUGGGAGGUAUCAGGAACGCAAUGGAAAGCAGCGGUGCGAAGCACGAAAACAAAUGAUACUUUUCCCAUCAGCAUGUUUCAAGUUUUUGUUUUGCUUUAUAUUUCGUUACUUACCAGUUGGUUCAAAGAAGCAUGUAAGCAAGAACUGGUUCGAUCCGCAUCGAUUUUAUAGGAGAAGAACACCAUCUUUUUGGCUGUGUAUGAGUUGGAUUUAUAUAAAAACCCAUUCAUCAUAUUAUGUAUGUGCGAAUGAAUCAUGUGGCUGAGUGUGGAAUGGGACGGUUCAACCGAGUAGCUCGGUUCUCGACUUCAUUCGAUUAGAAACAGCUGAUCCUAGGUAUUUAUUUGUAAGAUGAAUGCUACAAGGCUAACUCCAAAUGAAUUCAUGAGCUGCGUCAACGAUAAUCAUUGAUUUAAGAAAGCUAAUCAAAGAGGAACAGUAAAUGUUUAUCUGAAGGUCGUCGAUUCAAGUCACAUUGUAACAUGACACUACGCGAGUUAUUUUCGUGAAGUGAUUGAUACUCUUCGACGAUAGGAUUUUUGUGAGCACGCUAGUAUGGGGACUGAUAAAGGGGCUUUGGUUGAUGUUGAAAUUAUACCUAAAAUCUUUGAAUCCCAAUUAAUGUGAAUCAGUUUAUUCGAAUCAAUGAUGUUCACAAAAACUUAAGUAGGCGAAUGACCCUCCGGGUUAAAGCAGAAUAUAUGAACAACAACAACAAACUUAUGUUGGAAAAAUCUAAUUAUGAAUAAAAACCUACUCCCAAUCAAGCUGAGAGAAAGUUGUUGUAUUCGGCUCUUCGUUCUUUCGUUUCUUUUAGUACUAUACCUAUCGAUUAGAUAAUGCGAUAAAAUUUAUAUGCGGUACUCGUUUAAUUUUCCGGCAGCCAAGUGAUUCUUAUUCCAAUCAAGAUUGAAAUCGUUCCGUCGGGUUAUUCCUACUGAAACAGGUAUGCACGGAGGUGUCACCUGUUGGUAUGAACCUACGCCAAAAUUUAAUUCCGGAAUGAUGGCUGCCCAGUUAGACCAUUUUCCGACUUCCGAUUCGUUCCUACACAAAACUGAAUUGAUCUAAUUUGGAAACUGAUUUCCCAGACGAUCAUA